GUAAAUAUAGUUUAAAGAAACCGUCAGACUGUGAAUCUGAAGAUAGGCUGUAAAAUCCUUAUUUACC
rnacentral:tRNA from 1 species